GUCCAGUCGCCUCGGCCCGAGUCCCCUCCGCCUUUGACAGGACACAGCUGGGGUUGUGCGGGAGGGGCUCAGCCCUCAUAAUGGUCAGUGGUCUCGUCUGUGCUGGGGGCGCGGGAUUCUAACGAGAAGUGUCUG
ensembl:miRNA